rnacentral:rRNA from 1 species
ACUCCUACGGGAGGCAGCAGUGGGGAAUCUUGGACAAUGGGGGCGAACCCUCGAUCCAGCCAUGCCGCGUGAGUGAUGAAGGCCUUAGGGUCGUAAAGACUCUUUCGCCUGUGAUGAUAAUGACAGUAGCAGGUAAAGAAACCCCGGCUAACUCCGUGCCAGCAGCCGCGGUAAUACGGAGGGGGUUAGGCGUUGUUCGGAAUUACUGGGGCGUAAAGCGCGCGUAGGCGGACUAUUAAGUCAGGGGUGAAAUCCCGGGGCUCAACCCCGGAACUGCCUUUGAUACUGGUAGUCUUGAGUUCGAGAGAGGUGAGUGGAAUUCCGAGUGUAGAGGUGAAAUUCGUAGAUAUUCGGAGGAACACCAGUGGCGAAGGCGGCUCACUGGCUCGAUACUGACGCUGAGGUGCGAAAGUGUGGGGAGCAAACAGGAUUAGAUACCCUGGUAGGAUAGCC